UACGUAGGUGGCAAGCGUUGUCCGGAAUUAUUGGGCGUAAAGCGCGCGCAGGCGGUUCCUUAAGUCUGAUGUGAAAGCCCCCGGCUCAACCGGGGAGGGUCAUUGGAAACUGGGGAACUUGAGUACUGAAGAGGAAAGCGGAAUUCCAGGUGUAGCGGUGAAAUGCGUAGAUAUCUGGAGGAACAUCGGUGGCGAAGGCGGCAUCCUGGACCGGUAUUGACGCUGAGGCGCGGAAAGCCAGGGAGCAAAGCGGG
rnacentral:rRNA from 1 species